GACGAACGCUGGCGGCGUGCCUAAUACAUGCAAGUCGAACGCAGUGGGGACGGGUGCGUAACACGUGGGUAACCUCCCAUCAGAGGGGAGAACACUUGGAAACAGGUGCUAAACCGAUACUGAUGGAUGGACCCGCGGUGCAUUAGCUAGUUGGUGAGGUAACGGCUGACCAAGGCACCGAUGCAUAGCCGACCGGAGGGGUCUAUCGGCCACACUUGGACGUAGAAACGGGCCAGACUACGACGGGAGGCAGCAGUAGGGAAUCUACGGCAAUGGACGAAAGUCUGACCGAGCAACGCCGCGUGAGUGAAGAAGGUUUUCGGAUCGUAAAACGCUGUUGUUCGAGAAGCGGUAUCUAACCAGAAAGCCACGGCUAACUACGUGCCAGCAGCCGCGGUAAUUC
rnacentral:rRNA from 1 species